ACUGUCAGAUUGAUGUAAGAGACAUUUAUUGGGUUUUCCAGAAACUGACAGACUCUCCGGUGAUGAUACUGCGAACUUUUACAUCAGAUUCUACAAUACCUCAUGUACAAGACCAAAGACUGAAAGACAAAUAUUCAUCACUAACUUUGAGCCGUUUAUUUAUUAGUAAUAUAACUGUUCAUGAAUUAGGAAUAUAUUAUUGUGUAAAACGAAACACAACUCUACAGAUCAGCAUUGGCACCAGACUUUACAUCAAUGACAGACAGCAGGAACAAUCAUGUGAGAAAACACUGGAGUUGUACAAGAUUUUGACUGUUACAUCCAUCCUACUGAAUUCUGUGCUGAUUAUUGCAAUACUAGGUCUGUUAAUGAUCAAACUUAAGAAGCCAAGAAAAAGUCGACGACAAGCCCAGAAUGUUGAACCAGAGCAGAUCGAGGACUUAAACACUGCACAGUAUUCUGAAAUCGAGUUACCCACAAAAUUCCAGAAGAGAGAACCCCAUUCAGAUAAACGACACUUAUGAAC
ensembl:lncRNA